GAGGAAUAUUGGGCAAUGCCCGCAAGGGUGACCCAGCAACGCCGCGUGGAGGAUGAAUGUCGUAAGAUUGUAAACUCCUGUUGGAGGGGAAGAAUAGUACCGGUUGGACCGGUAUAUGACUGUACCCUCAGAGAAAGCCCCGGCUAACUACGUGCCAGCAGCCGCGGUAAUACGUAGGGGGCAAGCGUUGUCCGGAUUUACUGGGUGUAAAGGGCGCGCAGGCGGGAUAAAAAGUCAGUGGUGAAAUCCUACAGCUUAACUGUAGAACUGCCUUUGAUACUUUUAUUCUUGAGUUCGGGAGAGAGAGACGGAAUUCCAGGUGUAGUGGUGAAAUACGUAGAUAUCUGGAAGAACACCAGUUGCGAAGGCGGUCUCUUGGUCCGACACUGACGCUGAGGCGCGAAAGCGUGGGGAGCAAACA
rnacentral:rRNA from 1 species